GUGGUCAUUCACGCAAUGAUAAGGAAAGGAGGGCGUGAGCGUUGUGAGGAAGGGGACGGAGAGGAGGGACAAUGAUGGUGAGGGUGCGCUCGAAUACCUCAGUUUUUCCACCAUGGUAGCAGAGAGCAUGAAACAUGCACGCGCAAACCCUAGCAAUAUCGAGACCAUGCUCUCUCUAUCGCACAACGUCAACCACCGCCGGAGAAGAUCGAACGAUCUCGAGGGAUCCACCAACCUAAGCCGGAGAAGAAUGGAAAUUGACCUAGGGAUCCACCAACCUAAGCCGGAGAAGAAUGGAAAUUGACCUCGGCAAUAGGGGACAAGAUGAUGAAACUGACCAAGGUGUUGACAGACGAGAACAAGAGAAAAGAAUUGUAUUUUUGCCUGUAUUUUAUUUUGCAAUGUACAAGAGCAGUUUUUAUAUAGAAUAAAGGCUAAUUAGAU
rnacentral:lncRNA from 1 species